rnacentral:rRNA from 1 species
UGGGGAAUUUUGGACAAUGGGGGCAACCCUGAUCCAGCAAUGCCGCGUGUGUGAAGAAGGCCUUCGGGUUGUAAAGCACUUUUGUCCGGAAAGAAAACGCCGUGGUUAAUACCCGUGGCGGAUGACGGUACCGGAAGAAUAAGCACCGGCUAACUACGCGCCAGCAGCCGCGGUAAUACGUAGGGUGCAAGCGUUAAUCGGAAUUACUGGGCGUAAAGCGUGCGCAGGCGGUCCGCUAAGACAGAUGUGAAAUCCCCGGGCUUAACCUGGGAACUGCAUUUGUGACUGGCGGGCUAGAGUAUGGCAGAGGGGGGUAGAAUUCCACGUGUAGCAGUGAAAUGCGUAGAGAUGUGGAGGAAUACCGAUGGCGAAGGCAGCCCCCUGGGCCAAUACUGACGCUCAUGCACGAAAGCGUGGGGAGCAAACAGGAUUAGAUACCCUGGUAGUCCACGCCCUAAACGAUGUCAACUAGUUGUCGGGUCUUCAUUGACUUGGUAACGUAGCUAACGCGUGAAGUUGACCGCCUGGGGAGUACGGUCGCAAGAUUAAAACU